GACAGAGGGUGCGAACGUUGCUCGGAAUUACUGGGCGUAAAGCGCGUGCAGGCGGCCCUGCACGUCCGGUGUGAAAGCCCGGGGCUCAACCCCGGAAGCGCGCUGGAAACGACGGGCUGGAGGGCUGGAGAGGCGGGCGGGAAUUCCCGGUGUAGAGGUGAAAUUCGUAGAUAUCGGGAGGAACACCGGUGGCGAAGGCG
rnacentral:rRNA from 1 species